UACGAAGGGGGCUAGCGUUGUUCGGAUUUACUGGGCGUAAAGGGCGCGUAGGCGGCGGGUCAAGUCGAGUGUGAAAGCCCCGGGCUCAACCUGGGAAUUGCGCUCGAGACUGGUCUGCUUGAGUUCGGGAGAGGAGAGUGGAAUUCCCAGUGUAGAGGUGAAAUUCGUAGAUAUUGGGAAGAACACCGGUGGCGAAGGCGGCUCUCUGGACCGAGACUGACGCUGAGGCGCGAAAGCGUGGGGAGCAAACAGG
rnacentral:rRNA from 1 species